GCGGCUGUAGUGUUAGCUUUGGACGCCGCAGUAGCCGCUGCCGGUAGCAAGCCGACUGAGGGAAGGUGGGGGUCCGCCCGGGCUGGUGGACCUCGGGGCCGAAAGUUCCCGCCCCGCUCGGGGGCUGAGCCGGCAGUGCCUCCGCGGCCGCUGGGCAGCGCCCUUCGUCCAGGCUCGCGCCCCAGCUGCCGCCGACGACAGCGGCCGAGAGAAGUUGGGGUCUGACUAGACGCUUACGGGGCCUCGGACCCCGGCGCCGCGGCGACCUCGGAGGAACCGGCUCCUUGCGUCCCGCCUCCCUGGGAGCUCCGCACGGCAAUCUCCAUUGGUGCUACUGCGUUUAAAGGAUUUGCAGAUUUACAGAAUGGCUGCACAUUAAUGGAAAGAGAAGCAUAAACCUAUCUUCUUUCAUUAUGGAGGGAGGUUUGGCAGAUGGAGAACCUGAUCGAACUUCGCUGUUGUAGCAAACAGUGACGAAUCUCAGCUUCUGACACCAGGAAAGAUGAGUCAGCGCCAAGGAAAAGAAGCUUAUCCAACGCCAACCAAAGAUUUGCAUCAGCCAUCUCUUAGUCCAGCAAGUCCUCAUAGCCAGGGUUUUGAAAGAGGGAAGGAAGAUAUUUCUCAAAAUAAAGAUGAAUCUUCACUUUCUAUGUCAAAGAGCAAGUCUGAAUCUAAACUUUAUAAUGGCUCAGAGAAGGACAGUUCAACUUCAAGCAAACUCACAAAAAAAGA
rnacentral:lncRNA from 1 species